GGAACAGUUUCGGAAAUUGUGAACGACACCAUGCCGUGUUUACCGUUUGGCGACAGAACCUUUGAUGGCAUUCUUUUAAAUACGGUACUACACCAUUUACAAAAGGAUAGAAGUUUUUCUACUGCCGUCGAUACCCUUAAAGAAGCCCACAGGGUUUUACAGAUUAAUGGCGUUAUAGCAGUGACCCUUGGUUUUCGAUCGAACAUGGCGAAUACAUGGUUUUCUCAGCUUGUACCCGAGUGCACAAAUCGAAUAAGCGACCUUUUGCUAUCAGAAAAUGACUGUAGACAAUUAUUUUCAGAAGCUGGUUUAAAAUGCUUAGUACAUGUAAAUUUCCUAGGAUUUGGAAUUUUCAGUGACAAAGACUACUAUGAUUACGAUGGGAUUUUAAGUGAUGAUUGGGUUAACAGUACCGUUAUGUUUGAUGAACCAUCUAAAGAUGAGCUUGAGAAGGUCAGAGAGGAAGUGAAAUUUCUGAGGAUGAGGGG